AACGAACGCUGGCGGCAGGCUUAACACAUGCAAGUCGAACGCUCCGCAAGGAGAGUGGCAGACGGGUGAGUAACGCGUGGGAACGUACCCUUUACUACGGAAUAGCUCCGGGAAACUGGAAUUAAUACCGUAUGUGCCCUUCGGGGGAAAGAUUUAUCGGUAAAGGAUCGGCCCGCGUUGGAUUAGCUAGUUGGUGGGGUAAAGGCCUACCAAGGCGACGAUCCAUAGCUGGUCUGAGAG
rnacentral:rRNA from 1 species